rnacentral:lncRNA from 1 species
AAGACAUUUCAACACGAACUUUUAAGAAUAUUAUCAUAAUAAAUUGCUCCAUUAUAUCCUCUGAAGAGGAACAAUGAAGGUAAGUACUAUAAUUUUUUUUUUUGAUAGUAUCCAAAAAAAAUGUGCAAUAAACUCAUCAAAAGUUAAUUUUGCUGAUUAUUAUUUUUGUUUUCCUUUUUUUGGUGCUACUAAUGCAGAAAAAAGUUGUCAUUAAGGUUUCUAUUAAUGGAAACUCCCAUUCCAUCCUGAAGAAGUUUCUUAUGGAUUUUUUGAAGCUAAAGUACCUUGCCAAAUGUUGGGGGAACAAUUAUCAAGAUUCUAGAUCCAAAAACCAGAGCAAGGUCUUGUUAAUUGCAGCAAAAAUACCAGGUAACAAUAUAGUAGUAGUAAUAAUAAUCCCUGUUUUUAAGCCUUAGUUUGGGAGCCGCUGUAACUAGCAUUCUAACGCUGAGUGUGACGAACAUUUCUGGAGUGAACUACCUUUAUUUGCUUUCUCUACUUUUCGCAAAGAUUUACUAGCGACUGCUUCGAUAAGAUUAAUCUGGGACUGUAAUAACUCUCUUUAAUUUACUGCCUAAUAAUAAAUUCAGCGUCUUUUGGCAAAAAUAAAAAAAAAAUAAAAAAUAAAGCCUUAGUACCACUUUUUUAAUUAUAUAUUUUGUAAGUUUUUAAUUUCCACAUUUACGUUUUAUCCAUAAUGACACCCUAUUAUAUAAAUAACAUGACAUAUUUAAAAUCACAACAUUCAAAUAUUAUUUUCAUUAUACUAUACAAACCUUUAGUACAAGAUUAUAAAAUUGAAAAUUUUAUUUUAUAUUCUUAAAUUUCAUGCAUGGUCAAAUUAAGAUAGAUGAAAUGAAAAGAAACUAGAGUGUAUAUUACAUCUAGUAUGACUGCAUGUUACAAUUAAUUGAUAUGGUACUGGAGACAUAUACAUAUCAAUGAUUAUAUAGGCGGACCUAGGAAUCGACGGUCGCGGGACACUAUGACAUUCAUUUAAAUUUAUCACUUUUCAUAAAGAUUUGUACGGGAUUCUAUACUAAUAACUAACUAUUUUUUGAAGACAUUUACAAGUAUACAUGGAGUUUUUGCCAAAGUUUUCGGGUGUCAGUCACCCCUCAACCUAUAAUUUGCAUCUGCCUAUGUCAAUGAAGUAUUUACACAUACUUUGCAUGAGAGAAAGAAUCAGAUCCACACAACAACAACAACAACAACAACAACAACAACAACAACAAUAACAAUAACAAUAACAAUAACAACAACAAAAACAAAAAUAACAAUAAAUCUAGUAAAGUCUUAUAAGUUGAGUCCGAGGAGGGUAGUGUAUAUGCAAACCUUAUCCAUGUCUUGUAAAGGUAAAAACGUUGUCUCUGAUAGACCAUCCGCUUAAAAAAAAUGCAUCAUCACCACGGUUAAAAUAAGAAACUACGACAAAGGAGAAUCCAUCCGUCAGAAAAAGGUAACCGAAGCAAAAGCAAUACAAGUCCAAAAUCUAAAAAUAGGAAAUACGAGAAUACACUCGUAUUACAGACAGUGGCAGAGCCACAUGCACCCACCGACACCCUUUUGUCAGAAAAUUACACCGUUUAAUGAUACCCCUUAACUUUUUGGUGAAUUUAUUUCUUUAUAUUUUGACUCCUUUAAUAAAAAUUCUGGCUCCGCCACCGCCACCGCCACCGCCACUGAUUACAGAUAUAGAAAAGCAAUACAAGUACGAAAAAAAUUAGCUUUCUAACCUAUUGCCCUAAUCGGAUCCACAAGAGGGAUUGUUCUGAUGGUAAGCAACCUCCACUUCCAACCAAGAGGUUGUGAGUUCGAGUCUACCCAAGAGCAAGGUGGGAAGUUCUUGGAGGGAAGGAUGCCGAAGGUCUAUUUGGAAACAGCCUCUCUACCCCAGGGUAGGGGUAAGGUCUACGUACACAUUACCCUCCCCAGACACCACUAAGUAGGAUUAUACUGGGUUGUUGUUGUUGUUGGAUCCACACGUAAACGAUAACAUUGGCUAACUUGAACAUUUGCAGGGGUAGAGAAAGUAGCUAUAGAAGGUGAAGAAAAGAAUGAGCUAAUGGUGAUCGGUGAGGAAAUUGAUGCAGCAGAGUUGGUCACUAUACUUAGGAAGAAAGUAGGUUUUGCCAACAUUGUGAGUAUUGGUCCAGUUGAUGAUGAAAAGAAAGAAGAAAAACAGAAAGAAGAAGUUGCAAACUCAAUAUCCCCAUUGGUCUAUGGCAAUGGAUUAAUACCCCCUUUUCAAAUUUGGGAAGUUAGAUAUCCCACCUAUUGCUCCAUUUUGUGAUCAUUUGUUUAACUUGAAAUAUUAAUUAUGCAGCAAAUUGUUAAUCUGAGCUGAGGGUCUCCCGGAAACAGCUCGUCUGCGUACACUCUACCCUUCCCGGACCCCAUUAGUGAGAUUUUACUGGGUUGUUGUUGUUGGUAUUUUGUAAUGAGAGAUAUAUGCAUGUUUAGGGGCGGAGGUAGAACACAAGUUACGGGUUCGGCUUAGCCCAGUAGCUUUAAUCCAAGCCCUAUAUUUAUCUUAAGAAAUUAUUGAAUAUAUAGAAAUUAUUACUUCUUCCGUUUCAAUUAUUACUAGCUACACGCUAGAUUAAAAAUACAAAUCAAACAUUGGAUAAAAUGAUACAAUACCAGUAUAAAUUUUAUACUUAAAUGAUGGUAUUAGUUAUUCCACGUAAGAGGUCGGAUAGUUAAUCUCAUGGAAUAUCCUAAGAUUAUAAUCUCAUGGAUAGUUAUUCGACCCUUGUUUUUUUGAGCCGAGGGUCUCCUGGAAACAGCCUCUCUAUCCUUCGGGGUAGGGGUAAGGUCUGCGUACAUAUUACCCUCCCCAUACCCCACUUGUGGGAUUAUACUGGGUCGUUGUUGUUGUGAUAUACCAGAACUGAAACGUACCCAACAACUUCAUCUUUUACCUUAAAUCAAACGAAUCCAUGAAAAUUAGGGGGAAAAAAUAGCGUACUUAUUAGUAAAUUAAAGUAAUUUAUGCCAUGCCUAACAUAACCCUAGUUUCUAUUUAUAAGCACGGAGCACCCCAUUUUUUUUUAGUUAAAUAUAGUAACACUAGAGAGUAAGAUUCUUCAUUUAAUAUAUUGUGGAGAUUUGAUGAUUGAUUAAAGUGGAAUUUGACCUCCAUAUAAUGCAUAAAACGAAUAAAAAGAAUGAUUUUUGGCUCGUAAAUUAAACCACACCAUUUUCCUACAUUAUAUAUAGCAUGUAAUAAUGUAUGGUAAAGUCUCACAUUAUUUGAGGCAUGUAAUAAGUAUGUAUUUCUAAACGUAGAUAGAAGAAUCCCGAAUGAAUAACUAACCGAUUCAUUUAAUUAAGAGAGUUUAUGAUUGAUCCAAUUUGGUUCUUCACAUACUUAGCGGCGGAGCUAGCAUGCUGGUUAUGAGUUCGGCCGAAUUCAAUAACUUUAGUCCAAAAUUUAUAUUUUUUCUAAAGAAAUUCAUUAAAAAUUUAGGGCCUUAAAAGUUGGAAAUUAGGAUUGACUUUCUUCCUCUUUAGGUUCAAGCUAGCUCUCAUACAAUUCUCAAUCUUUGCACUAGACUCAGUGAAAUUGAUAGAGUUGAAUUGACCAAAAAAUCAUUAAUAAAAAAGGAAGUCUUUUGAGUGAUAACAAAUUUUAUCUAAGGCCAACUAAAAAUAACAUUUAAAAAUAUAGUAAAGUACAAAAGAUUAAAGAUAAUAUAUUCAUAAUUUUUUUAAAACUCAAAUUAAAAAGUGCAGGAAUUUGAUUAACUAUCUAGGAAUAGUAAUAUAUAAAUAUAAUAAUGUCAUAAGUCACUAAAUUUAUAAUUUUAGAACGAAAUAUUGUAUAAAUUAUAAUCAAAUAUUUUUUAAAAAAAUCUAAGAAUAAAAUAUUUGAGACAUAUAGAGCCAGAUAAUCCAAAAAAAAAAGUACUUGUUUUUUUUUUUCUGAUUGUUAUGACGGUAGACAUUUGAUUAUUAUAUUUAUAAUAAUUCUGUGUACUUGGCUCAAUUGGUAUAAGCUAACUCUUUGGAGCAGUGGCGGAUUUAGAGGGAAAAAAUAGGGUACGUGAACCUAUGAUCUUUCCGAAAAAUUAAAUAUUUAUGUAACAUAUAUUUUAAAAUUGGUAUAAUAUUAACUGUUGGCAUCCGUAUUUUAAAAAGUUGAAUGGUGCACUUGGUUGAAGGUUGAGUUAUUUACUAAGAGGAAGACGGAUCAAUUCUCACUUAAUACGUUGCACCCCUUAAGUUUAUGAAAUCACUAAUGAGCCUACCCAAAAAAAUUGUGAAGAAAAUAAUCGAAAAGGAACACUCUAGCCCUCCCCUCCCCCCUCCCAACCCCCCCCCCCCCCAAAAAAAAAAGAAGAAGAAUCCUCUAAUCUCAGGAGUGGAAUUAGUGUAUCGAUUACGGGUUCGAUCUAACUUGAUAACUUUUGUUCAAAUCAAGUAUUUGACUAUAUAAAAAUUAUUAAUUUAGAAUUCAAUAAUUUAAAAAGAUUCAUAAGCUUCAAAUCCUGACUCCGUUUGCACUCCUAAAAAUGCAAAUAGUAUUACUCCAUUAUCUAGAAUGGUUGGACCUUCACCAUUAGUAUACUGGUAGAAACUUCUGAAUAGAAAGUCUGAAUACAUCACAAAGGUGGUAUAUAAUGUAAAGUUUCAAAUUUUGUCUAUAACGGUGUACAAAAUAUAUAUACACUUAGGGGUUGUUUGGUUGCUAGCUAGGGUUACAAAGGUAUAAGCUAAGUAAUACAGAGAUUAGUUAUAUAUACAUGAAUUAGUUUUGCAUGAAUAAGUAAGUAAGGGUUAGUUAUGCAUGAUUUAGUUAUUCGGGAUUUAGUUGUUUCAUCUUCUACCACACAUAAAAUAAUACAUAAAUUAACGUACUCAUAACUUGAUAGGUUAUGUGACCUGCUAUGUUUUGAUGAUCUAACAAACUUAAAGAACCAGAUGGGGAAGCUGUUCCACAUCCUCAAGUGCUCAAGAAUAACAAGUCUUAAGUCCGUUACAUGCCUCAACAAUUCAGAGUCAAAAAAACGACAGAGGAAACAAAUGGACAUUAGUUCCCUUGCUGACUGUACUAAGUCAAUUUCCCACAGGUUGUAAAGCUGCUGCAACUGUCCUCUGCACGCACGCAACACCAUAAACAGUGCAACAGUCACUUUAGGGGAAUGCCUUUGUACCAAAUAAUGCUUGCAUCAUCUGUAACACCCCACAUUUUUACUAAUAUUUGCGUUCUUGAUUGAGCAUCUUUAUAUUGAG